AACGAACGCUGGCGGCGUGCCUAACACAUGCAAGUCGAGCGCGAAAAGGGCAACCUGAGUAGAGCGGCGCACGGGUGCGUAACACGUGGGUAAUCUGCCUUAGAGUCGAGGAUAACCUUCCGAAAGGUUGGCUAAUACUCGGUAAGCUUACGGUGUCUUCGGACGCUGUGGGAAAAGUAGGCCUCUGUUUACAAGCUUACGCUCUGAGAUGAGCCCGCGGCCCAUCAGCUAGUUGGCGGUGUAACGGACCACCAAGGCAACGACGGGUAGCUGGUCUGAGAGGACGAUCAGCCACACUGGAACUGAGACACGGUCCAGACUCCUACGGGAGGCAGCAGUGGGGAAUUUUCCACAAUGGGCGAAAGCCUGAUGGAGCAACGCCGCGUGUGUGAUGAAGGUUUUCGGAUCGUAAAGCACUUUCGACUGGGACGAAAAACCUUUGGCUAACAUCCAAGGGCCUGACGGUACCAGGAGAAGAAGCACCGGCUAACUCUGUGCCAGCCGCCGCAGUAAAAC
rnacentral:rRNA from 1 species